UACGUAGGGCGCAAGCGUUGUCCGGAAUUAUUGGGCGUAAAGAGCUCGUAGGCGGCUUGUCACGUCGAUUGUGAAAGCCCGAGGCUUAACCUCGGGUCUGCAGUCGAUACGGGCUAGCUAGAGUGUGGUAGGGGAGAUCGGAAUUCCUGGUGUAGCGGUGAAAUGCGCAGAUAUCAGGAGGAACACCAGUGGCGAAGGCGGCACUCUGGGCCGGUACUGACGCUGAGGAGCGAAAGCGUGGGGAGCGAACAGG
rnacentral:rRNA from 1 species